rnacentral:rRNA from 1 species
GCCAGCAGCCGCGGUAAUACGUAGGGCGCGAGCGUUGUCCGGAAUUAUUGGGCGUAAAGAGCUUGUAGGCGGUUUGUCGCGUCUGCUGUGAAAGGCCGGGGCUUAACUCCGUGUAUUGCAGUGGGUACGGGCAGACUAGAGUGCAGUAGGGGAGACUGGAAUUCCUGGUGUAGCGGUGGAAUGCGCAGAUAUCAGGAGGAACACCGAUGGCGAAGGCAGGUCUCUGGGCUGUAACUGACGCUGAGAAGCGAAAGCAUGGGGAGCGAACAGGAUUAGAUACCCUGGUAGUCCAUGCCGUAAACGUUGGGCACUAGGUGUGGGGAACAUUCCACGUUUUCCGCGCCGUAGCUAACGCAUUAAGUGCCCCGCCUGGGGAGUACGGCCGCAAGGCUAAAACUCAAAGAAAUUGACGGGGGCCCGCACAAGCGGCGGAGCAUGCGGAUUAAUUCGAUGCAACGCGAAGAACCUUACCAAGGCUU